AAUGCAUUUGCUUUCAGCCGCAGAGAGAAGAAGCUGCCCAAGAAUGGAAAGGAAGAAAUAUAUCACAUCAUCUGUCUGUCCACAGGCUUUCCUUGGGGCUUAUGAAGUGAAUGAAGGAGGGAAGAAAGGAGAGACAGAGAAAAUAUGGAUUUCCUCAUGGUUGUGAUUCCUCUUCACUCUUUUGAAUUUGGAAGGAUGGCAUACACAUCUGAAAAAUACCACUACUUCCUUCAUUGGACUGCAAGGUAUUUCUGUUUGGAAAAGUAAUGGAGUCCAGUCAACUUCAUUGAUCGCCAAGGACUGUCAAAAUUAUAAAACUUGCUGUGGAGCUCUGACAUGCCAGAAGCCGCUAGAAAAAGAAGUUUGACAUUCAGAAACUUAUCAAGAGGUUCUACUCUUUGGAUAGAGACCAAAAUCAUACUUUGAAAAAGCCUGACAGGUUUCUUCGGAAAAGUGGCCAUCCAUGGAAUGAAUGAAAUGUUCUCUUUCUAUUCCAGGGAUUGCAGUGGCAAAGCUAGGCUAGGUCUUGGAGGCUGGUGUAAGGCGAUGUGGGUGAAGGCAGGAGGCUGAUGGAAAGACUGGGGGGAAGAAAAGCCGAAAUGGAUUCACGGUGCCUUGGAUGAAGGACGAGAGGGGAACUGCAAGCUCCUUCAACUGGUUCUGUCCGGUGAGAAGUGAUCAAGCUUGGGCUGACAAGAGGCUCAGGGAGCCCUCACGUUCUUUCGCUUUUUUACCUGCCAAUCAAACUGCUACAAGACAACACCCUGAUCUGGCAUGGACAUCGCGGGUCCAAGCCUGUAGCCCCAAAUCGGAUAAUCUCUGCAGCUGAUAACAAGCAAAAGAGAAGCCAGGCAACAGCCAUAUUAAAGAAGAAAACAAUCAACUCUGAGAUCCAACUUAGAAAUAAUGUUUCAUUCAAGAUAAGGCUCGUGGCUUAGGAGAUUGUGACCUGGCUUGCAUCAUUCUAAGACUUCUAUCGUCUGUUUUCAAAACCCAAGGAGGACCUCCUUUUCUGUGUGAUAGUUCCUCAUGCUUUGCCAGCCACUGGGUCUUUAAGGAAGCUUGCCAAGAGUUCCCGGCUGGGAAGGACAGUUCGAGUUCAUCAUAGACAAUGAGCUGGCACCACAGUUUAAGUGACUCACCAACCUGGUUGCCCACUUCAAAAUGUCAAGAACCACACUAUCUAAUUGAAAGAACUGUGUUUUAGCAAAGUGUAAUUGGAUCGCCUGGCAAGAUCAUCUCAAACUAUGUCUCUGACCUUGCCUUUCAGUGGCUAUUUUGAGCACAAGAGGAGAAAGGAAAUGAUUCCUGAAUUAUAUCUUGUUUUUAAAAAUUAAGAUUAAUUAAUACUUGGUUUUAUGUUCAUUCCAUUGUAGGAACUUAGUGAUUAUUACAAAACAGUCAAAAUAGGUCAUAGCAAAAUGAACGUUUAAGAUUAGGUUAAAACAUUCCUCUGAAAUUUUAGUAUUCACUUUUGAAGUGUCAAUUACUAUAUUUCUGUAAUUUCUCAUUUUUUUCUUGGCUUAGAGUCAAGAUGAAAAAUGAUAUUUGAAUCAAAGACAUUGUUUUGUUAUAUAGCCACUCCUUUCUAAAAUGCAAAUCCACCCUCCCCUCACCAAUGCUUUAUUCUUUGUGCGCGCACACACACACACACACACACACACACACACACACACACACAGACAUACACAGAACCAGCACCCAAAUGGUAGAGGAGGUCCUUCCAAGACUUCUAGGACCUGGAUCAUGUAAGCAGUAGAUGAGAAAAUGAAGUAAGAGAUAUAGAGUAAUAACAAUAAAAGUCAAUGAUUUCAUUUUACAAAAAAGUCAUUGUGUAGUACUCAGAUAUUUUUAAGAGCAAGUAUUAUUAUGACUAAAGUAUAUUAUACUUCUAAAUUAUUAUGAUUCUCAUCUAAUUUCAAGCCACACAUAGGCGCCAUUUGAAAGCAUUUUGUGUUACAACCUAUCAACAAAAAUCAACUAAUAGUUUUAUAACGUGCAUAGGUUUACCCCAUGGGGAAUUAAAAUUUUUAUCUGCAAGUAUUUCUGUUGUUGUGAGACUUUAGGACAAGACAACAUUUGGUGUUAACAUAGAAGAAUAUUCUAUGGCUUUUUUAGCUUUAAAGUUCAUUACUCUAAAAUAAAGUACACGUGGUAUUUUUUUCUUCCUAGUGUUCUCUUAUUAUAUGUAGAGUAUUUUCGGUUGUUGUUUUUAACGUAUACAUUAUUUUUAUUAAGUCAUUUCAUAAAAGAUAAGAUAUAUACUAAUAGACCCUUGGUUUUCUCCUAAUUUAAUUAUUUCAAGUCAAGCAAAAUUGGGCAAUUUUCUUUCAGGAAAAAAAAAAUAUUGAGCAUGAUUUUGAGGUAAAACUGAUUAUUUACAGCAUCUUUUCUCUAAUAGGCUAACAUUUAUGAUGGAUCUUAUUUCAAAGUUGAUUAUUCUCAAAGAAAAGUGGAGAUAUUAGAAUUUCCGAGUAAAUUGCAUUGUUUUAAAAAGUACUUUAAUGCAUUGUUCACAUUGUUGCCAGCUAUUGACCAAAAAAGAGAAGAAGAAAAAAGAAAUAAAAAAAGCAGUAUCUGCUCCAAACGUCAAGUUUUGCAGUUUGAAAGACUUGUACAUUAUAAUUGUUUUUUUCUUUUUUGGAAAGCAGUAGUAAUUAAUACCAAAGGCAUAGACAAUUUAGGGCCAUAACCUCCCUUCCCCCCUCUCCACCUUUUUUUUUUUUUUUUUUUUUUUUUAACUUUAACCAUGAUAGGCAUCUCUGCAAGGUAGGUUUUAACAUAUUUUUUUCCUAAUUUUUUUCCCUCCAUUCAGUAAGAAGGAUAAGCUUUUAGAGUACCCAGUCACCGUGGUAACUGCCAAAAAAAUUCUCCUGAAGUUUGAAGAGGUCAGCUAGCAGGGUCAACAACCCUGGCCUCUCUCUGAGCUCGGUCUAGCAUGCCCCAGCCUGCGGUUGGAGUGUCAGGCCAGAUCUGACCCUGGGAGGUGGACCAUUCUGGCUCUGAUAUAAAUUUUUCGAGUCAGUUCAUGGCCUGGACUCUCCAGGUGGCCUCCAAAAUCGAUUUUGACCCCCUGACCCUGUCUCACGGAGGCAUAGCAUCCACCCUAAGUAAGGAUUUAGCCAGGAAUGACAGCUUUCCACUGAGUGUUAUUGGGGACAGUAUAAACAGUUUGGAAAGCAAGUAAGGAGGUGUGAGGGCUAGCAAUCAUUAAAAGCACAUUAAAAAACAAUUUUUAAAAAUCUUUAUUAGAGAAAGUUGUAAAUGCAUAUCUGUUACAGAAUUCCUGUGAUUUGUAGAGUUUUCUAGUCAGUUUUGAAUAUAAAUAGGUCACAUAUCUUUAUCUUUUUGCAUACUUUGUUACAAAUAUGCAAAUAAGAUAGGCAUACUUGCUACAAAAUAGGUACAGCAGGAAUGUAAUAUGUUCAGAAAAGGCAAACUGGUUAUUAAAACACAUUAACAGGUAAGGAGUUUCUAAUAUUUUAAAUACUAAAAUUUUACAUGUGUAUUUUGAAGUUUUUAAAAUGGAAAAAUAAAGAACCUUUAAAAA
rnacentral:lncRNA from 1 species